rnacentral:tRNA from 1 species
AUUUAUAUAGUUUAACAACAAAAACAUUAUAUUUUCAAUGUAAAAUUAGGAACUCCCUUAUAA